rnacentral:rRNA from 1 species
CCUACGGGAGGCAGCAGUGAGGAAUAUUGGUCAAUGGACGAGAGUCUGAACCAGCCAAGUAGCGUGCAGGAUGACUGCCCUAUGGGUUGUAAACUUCUUUUAUAUGGGAAUAAAAUGUUCCACGUGUGGGAUUUUGUAUGUACCAUAUGAAUAAGGAUCGGCUAACUCCGUGCCAGCAGCCGCGGUAAUACGGAGGAUCCGAGCGUUAUCCGGAUUUAUUGGGUUUAAAGGGAGCGUAGGUGGAUUGUUAAGUCAGUUGUGAAAGUUUGGGGCUCAACCGUAAAAUUGCAGUUGAAACUGGCAGUCUAGAGUACAGUAGAGGUGGGCGGAAUUCGUGGUGUAGCGGUGAAAUGCUUAGAUAUCACGAAGAACUCCGAUUGCGAAGGCAGCUCACUGGACUGCAACUGACACUGAGGCUCGAAAGUGUGGGUAUCAAACAGGAUUAGAUACCCCUGUAGUC